rnacentral:tRNA from 1 species
CGGAGUGUAGCGCAGCCUGGUAGCGCACCUGAUUUGGGAUCAGGGGGUCGCAGGUUCGAGUCCUGCCACUCCGA